rnacentral:rRNA from 1 species
CGGCGGACGGGUGAGUAACACGUGGAUAACCUACCUAUAAGACUGGGAUAACUUCGGGAAACCGGAGCUAAUACCGGAUAAUAUAUUGAACCGCAUGGUUCAAUAGUGAAAGACGGUUUUGCUGUCACUUAUAGAUGGAUCCGCGCUGCAUUAGCUAGUUGGUAAGGUAACGGCUUACCAAGGCAACGAUGCGUAGCCGACCUGAGAGGGUGAUCGGCCACACUGGAACUUAGACACGGUCCAGACUCCUACGGGAGGCAGCAGUC